GGUAAUAUAAUUCAAUUGGACGAAUUACUACAAAGUAGUUGUAAGGGUUCGACUCCCUUUAUUGCCA
rnacentral:tRNA from 1 species